rnacentral:rRNA from 1 species
CUGGCGGCGUGCUUACACAUGCAAGUCGAGCGAGAAAGGGAACUUCGGUUCCUGAGUACAGCGGCGAACGGGUGAGUAAUACGUGGGUGAUCUACCCCUAGGGUGGGAAUAACCCGGGGAAACCCGGGCUAAUACCGAAUAAGACCAUAGGAGGCAACUCCAGGGGUCAAAGGGAGCUUCGGCCCCCCCCCAAGGGAUGAGCCCGCGGCCUAUCAGCUUGUUGGUGGGGUAAAGGCCCACCAAGGCAAAGACGGGUAGCUGGUCUGAGAGGAUGACCAGUCACACGGGGACUGAGACACGGCCCCGACUCCUACGGGAGGCAGCAGUGGGGAAUAUUGGACAAUGGGGGAAACCCUGAUCCAGCGACGCCGCGUGGGUGAUGAAGGCUUUCGGGUCGUAAAGCCCUGUCAGGAGGAAAGAACGCUCCUAUAGCGAAUAGCUAUAGGAAGUGACGGUACCUCCAAAGGAAGCACCGGCCAACUCCGUGCCAGCAGCCGCGGUAAGACGGAGGGUGCGAGCGU